CAACGUAACUUGCGCACCCUCAUCCACCGUCCAAGUAUAUCCAAAGGCUCACAACACUUGCAACUAAAAUAUCUAAUUUUUUACAGCUGUGGACGCGGGAACGACAGCCAUAUUCCCGCGCGGCCGGGCUGGACUCGUGUUCGUUCUGCCGCCCUCUGGUCUCGCGCGCCGCCGCGAGCCUUGCCCGGGGCUGCCGUCCUCCCCUACGCCUGUCUAGGACUCCGCUUAUCUCCCCUACGCGCGUGGACACCGAGGGUGGCCGCACCAGACUGGCGACGUCCUGCGACUCCGCUUAUCUCACGCGCCGCCGCGGGCCUUGUCCGUGGCCGCCGGCCUCGUGCGCCGUCCCCGCGACCCCACUGACCGCGCUGCCACGGGCAUCGUCUCCAGCCUCCCGCGACCCCACCGGCCUCCCGUGCGCUGCAGGCCUCCUUGCGUGUCCCCAACAGCCUGUGGUGUUGUCGCGCCGCCGUGGGAGACAAAUCCUCUGCCGACCAAAAAGCUCAAACUAGUUGAUGUCUGGUUUUGCGAAUUGCGAAAGUUCAGAAUCUGAGUUGUGGAAGUUUGAAAUCUGAGUUGUGUGGAAGUUUGAAAUCUGAGUUGUGUAAGAGAAUGACAGAAUCUGAUAAGAAGAUACCUGAAAUUGGUUUGAGGUUCAGAAAUCCGGAUGAGGCUUGGCAAUUCUGGGUGGCCUAUGGUGGCAGUACAGGCUUUGAUGUGAGAAAAAGGUACACAAAUAUAAGCAAAUUCGAUCGUCAAGUCACUUCAUGCAGAUAUGUAUGUGCCAAUGAAGGUUAUCGAAGAAAAGGGCAAACUGAUCAUGUGACUAAGUGUUUUAGAGCUGAAACAAGAACUGACUGCAAAGCUCGGAUGACUCUUUCACUGGAUAGAGAGAAAGGAAAUUAUGAAGUCACUGAUCUUGUGCUUGAACACAAUCACUUGCUUCACUUGCCGGAAACUCGACAUUUGAUGGCAUCACAAAGAAAAAUUUCAGAAUUGCAAGCUUUUGAAAUUGAGACAGCUGAUGAUUCUGGAAUUAGGCCAAAAGCUGCACAUGAGUUGGCUAUUCGCCAAGUUGGUGGACCCCUUAACCUUAGCUACAAGAGUACACUGUCAUUGACAGUUUUACUCAGCUCAUAACAGUUCCAACUUUGGCAAAUUUGGAGCUUCAAGAUCUGUUCUAGCUUUUAUUAGUUGGUUACUUAGUAUUUUGGACAGGCUAACUAUAGUAUUUUGUGGGCUAACUAUAGUAUUUUGCGGCCUAAGUAUAGUAUUUUGUGAAGAAUAUCGCAAUGCCACUUAAUUGGACUUCUCUGAAUUUGUAAGCACUGCUAUUGAAAAGUUGUUGAUGGAAGCUUUGUAAGCACUAGACUGAGUUCCACUUAAUUGAUAAGCUGAUGCACUUGAUUAGCUGCUGGAUUAGCUAAUUUGUAAGCACUGAAUUAGCUUUGAAAAUACAGUGACCUACUAUAUUUCUGUGAAGACUGAA